rnacentral:rRNA from 1 species
UACGAAGGGGGGCGAGCGUUGUUCGGAUUUACUGGGCGUAAAGGGCGCGCAGGCGGCUCAUUUUGUCAGGCGUGAAAGCCCCGGGCUUAACCUGGGAGGUGCGUUUGAUACGGAUGGGCUAGAGUUCGGGAGAGGAGAGUGGAAUUCCCAGUGUAGAGGUGAAAUUCGUAGAUAUUGGGAAGAACACCGGUGGCGAAGGCGGCUCUCUGGACCGAGACUGACGCUGAGGCGCGAAAAGCGUGGGGGAGCAACAGG